GCACCCGCGGUAAUUCCAGCACCAAUAGCGUAUAUUAAUGCUGCUGCUGUUAAAAAGCUCGUAGUUGGAUCAAGAGUCGGACAGUGCACGGUGGCCCUCUUUGCCAUUUUGGGUCCUGCUCAAGUUGGCGGGAGCGGAAUCACCCCGUGCAUCAAACUGUCCGCUCUAGCAGGCCGAAACGGUUCCCUGUGAGUAGGCCCCUUCAUUGGGGUCGAAAGCGCCAAACGGGGCGUCCGCGGAAGUUACUGUGAACAAAACAGCGUGUCCAAAGCAGGCGAUUUGUCGUCUGAAUGAUCUAGCAUGGAAUGACAAGGGAUCGACCAUUGUGGUCUUCUUUUUGUUGGCCUCUGUGACCCAACCGGGCAAUUCAGGGCGUGAACUCCAGCAGGGAUCCUGCCCCAGUUCGCUUCGGCGUCUGGAGCAACCCUGUCUGGAUCGCGUCUCUAUCGGGAUCAAUAGGAGCUCACGGGGAGAUACGUAUUGUUGCGUUAGUGGUGAAAUACUUAGAUCGCAGCAAGACGAACUUCUGCGAAAGCAUUUCUCAAGAAUGUUUUCAUUAAUCAAGAACGAAAGUGCGGGGAUCGAAGAUGAUCAGAUACCGUCGUAGUCCGCCACUGUAAACGAUGCCGAUUCGGAAUUGCGAGUGCUCUCAUUAUAUGACUCUCGCAGCGCCACCCCUUUAACGAGAAAUCAAAAUUUUUGGGUUCAGGGGAGUACAAUCGCAAGGCUGAAACUUAAAGGAAUUGACGGAAUGACACCACAAGGCGUGGAGUAUGCGGCUUAAUUUGACCCAACACGGGGAACCUCACCAGGUCAGGACAAAAUAAGGAUUGACAGAUUGAGAGCUCUUUCUUGAUCUUUUGGAUGGUGGUGCAUGGCCGUUCCUGGUUGGUGGAUUGAUCUGUCUGGUUGAUUCCGUUAACGAACGAGAUCUCGACCCUUAAAUAGGUAUGCUCGUCGUUUCGAGUCUCACUCCGCUGGGCUCUCGGGAUGUUGGAUUGCUCAGACAGGGCAGCUACUUCUUAAGGGGACUGCGUGCGCCUAUAGUACGCGGAAGAGCGAGCCAAUAGCAGGUCUGUGAUGCUCCUAAAUGUCCUAGGCUGCACGCGCACUACACUGACGCAUUAAACGAGUCUGUUUGCCUUACGGCAACCUGUCUUGAAGAGGAUGGGAAACCUUUUGAACUUGCGUCGUGAUGAG
rnacentral:rRNA from 1 species